rnacentral:lncRNA from 1 species
AGGACACACUCUCCAACCUGAGCCAGACUGCCAGGGAAACUCAUAAGGGCUUCCUGCAGGAGGAGCUUCUACCUGCUCAUCUUCCUGAGGGAGCUGACGUGCAGAACCAAGGCACUGAGGAGGAUUGCAGGACUGGCGCAGGGCGGGGGUAGGAAGGGAGGAGGCACACCUGUGCUCACAACCGAAACAGUGUGUCCAAGACACCUGCUGUCCUCUCAAUGCCCUCACCCCUCUCCUCCUCCCUUCCUCCAUCUCCGCCUUCCUUCCUUUAUUCCUUUAAAAAAAAAUUCAAUAUACAAGUGUUCUAGAAAGCCUGAUGUUACAGAGUGAAAAAUCAAAUAUCA